AGUGGGAUAGCUGGGUCAAAUAGUGGUGCCAUUCCCAGUUUUCCAAGGAAUCUCCAUACUGUUUUCCAUAUUGGCUGCACCAGUUUGCAGUCCCACCAGCAAU
rnacentral:pre_miRNA from 1 species